CGUGAGAUGUUGGGUUAAGUCCCGCAACGAGCGCAACCCUCGCCUUUAGUUACCAUCAUUUAGUUGGGUACUCUAAAGGAACCGCCGGUGAUAAGCCGGAGGAAGGUGGGGAUGACGUCAAGUCCUCAUGGCCCUUACGCGCUGGGCUACACACGUGCUACAAUGGCAACUACAGUGGGCAGCGACCCUGCGAGGGCGAGCUAAUCCCCAAAAGUUGUCUCAGUUCGGAUUGUUCUCUGCAACUCGAGAGCA
rnacentral:rRNA from 1 species